rnacentral:rRNA from 1 species
CCUGGUUGAUUCUGCCAGUAGUCAUAUGCUUGUCUCAAAGAUUAAGCCAUGCAUGUCUAAGUAUAAGCAAUUAUACAGCGAAACUGCGAAUGGCUCAUUAUAUAAGUUAUCGUUUAUUUGAUAGUACCUUACUACUUGGAUAACCGUGGUAAUUCUAGAGCUAAUACAUGCUAAAAACCCCGACUUCGGAAGGGGUGUAUUUAUUAGAUUAAAAACCAAUGCCCUUCGGGGCUCACUGGUGAUUCAUAAUAACUUCUCGAAUCGCAUGGCCUUGCGCCGGCGAUGGUUCAUUCAAAUUUCUUCCCUAUCAACUUUCGAUGCUAGAGUAGUGUUCUAGCAUGGUUACAACGGGUAACGGAGGGUUAGGGCUCGACCCCGGAGAAGGAGCCUGAGAAACGGCUACUACAUCCAAGGAAGGCAGCAGGCGCGCAAAUUACCCAAUCCCGACACGGGGAGGUAGUGACGAUAAAUACUGAUACAGGGCUCUUUUGGGUCUUGUAAUUGGAAUGAGUACAAUUUAAAUCCCUUAACGAGGAACAAUUGGAGGGCAAGUCUGGUGCCAGCAGCCGCGGUAAUUCCAGCUCCAAUAGCGUAUAUUAAAGUUGUUGUGGUUAAAAAGCUCGUAGUAGAACCUUGGGCCUGGCUGGCCGGUCCGCCUCACCGCGUGCACUGGUCCGGCCGGGCCUUUCCCUCUGCGGAACCGCAUGCCCUUCACUGGGUGUGCCGGGGAAGCAGGACUUUUACUUUGAAAAAAUUAGAGUGCUCCAGGCAGGCCUAUGCUCGAAUACAUUAGCAUGGAAUAAUAGAAUAGGACGCGUGGUUCUAUUUUGUUGGUUUCUAGGACCGCCGUAAUGAUUAAUAGGGACAGUCGGGGGCAUCAGUAUUCAAUUGUCAGAGGUGAAAUUCUUGGAUUUAUUGAAGACUAACUACUGCGAAAGCAUUUGCCAAGGAUGUUUUCAUUUAUCAGGAACGAAAGUUAGGGGAUCGAAGACGAUCAGAUACCGUCGUAGUCUUAACCAUAAACUAUGCCGACUAGGGAUCGGACGAUGUUAUUUUUUGACUCGUUCGGCACCUUACGAGAAAUCAAAGUGCUUGGGCUCCAGGGGGAGUAUGGUCGCAAGGCUGAAACUUAAAGAAAUUGACGGAAGGGCACCACCAGGGGUAAAACGCAGGAACUCUGCUCCUAAAAGUAGCCCGAAAGGGUCAGUGGUUGCGCCUGGCUUCGGCCGAACUAAGUACUAGUCUCCCUCGGGAGGCGACACCCUCAAAUUGCGGGGAACUCCUAAAGCAUUCGCUCCAAAGCCGGUCCUCGAAAGAGGCCGGUGGCCAGGUUAACAGCCUCGGGUACUGGAAAAACGCGAAUGAUGCCACAAUGGACAAUCCGCAGCCAAGCUCCUAAGGCCCCUCGGGGCACGGAGAAGGUUCAGAGACUUAACGGGGGUGGGUUCAGAGAUAUCUGGGCCUAAGAUAAAGUCCGUUCUACUAGUGAAAGCAAGUAGAAGCCCUAAACGGGAGCCUGCGGCUUAAUUUGACUCAACACGGGGAAACUCACCAGGUCCAGACACAAUGAGGAUUGACAGAUUGAGAGCUCUUUCUUGAUUUUGUGGGUGGUGGUGCAUGGCCGUUCUUAGUUGGUGGAGUGAUUUGUCUGCUUAAUUGCGAUAACGAACGAGACAUUGACCUACUAAAUAGCCCGUAUUGCUUUGGCAGUACGCCGGCUUCUUAGAGGGACUCUCGGCUUAAGCCGAUGGAAGUGCGAUGCAAUAACAGGUCUGUGAUGCCCUUAGAUGUUCUGGGCCGCACGCGCGUUACACUGACGGAGCCAGCGAGUACUCCUUGGCCGGAAGGCCCGGGUAAUCUUGUUAAACUCCGUCGUGCUGGGGAUAGAGCAUUGCAAUUAUUGCUCUUCAACGAGGAAUCCCUAGUAAGCGCAAGUCAUCAGCUUGCGUUGAUUACGUCCCUGCCCUUUGUACACACCGCCCGUCGCUACUACCGAUUGAAUGGCUCAGUGAGGCUUUCGGACUGGCCCAGAGAGGUGGGCAACUACCACUCAGGGCCGGAAAGUUAUCCAAACUCGGUCAUUUAGAGGAAGUAAAAGUCGUAACAAGGUCUCCGUUGGUGAACCAGCGGAGG